rnacentral:rRNA from 1 species
UACAGAGGUCCCGAGCGUUGUUCGGAUUCACUGGGCGUAAAGGGUGCGUAGGUGGCAUGGUAAGUUUGAUGUGAAAGCUCAGGGCUCAACCCUGAAAUGGCAUUGAAUACUACUGUGCUGGAGGUUUGGAGGGGGGACUGGAAUUCUUGGUGUAGCAGUGAAAUGCGUAGAUAUCAAGAGGAACACCAGUGGCGAAGGCGGGUCUCUGGGCCGAUACUGACGCUGAGGAGCGAAAGCAUGGGUAGCGAACAGG